rnacentral:rRNA from 1 species
GACGAACGCUGGCGGCGUGCCUAAUACAUGCAAGUAGAACGCUGAAGAGAGGAGCUUGCUCUUCUUGGAUGAGUUGCGAACGGGUGAGUAACGCGUAGGUAACCUGCCUUGUAGCGGGGGAUAACUAUUGGAAACGAUAGCUAAUACCGCAUAACAAUGGAUGACACAUGUCAUUUAUUUGAAAGGGGCAAUUGCUCCACUACAAGAUGGACCUGCGUUGUAUUAGCUAGUAGGUGAGGUAACGGCUCACCUAGGCGACGAUACAUAGCCGACCUGAGAGGGUGAUCGGCCACACUGGGACUGAGACACGGCCCAGACUCCUACGGGAGGCAGCAGUAGGGAAUCUUCGGCAAUGGGGGCAACCCUGACCUAGCAACGCCGCGUGAGUGAAGAAGGUUUUCGGAUCGUAAAGCUCUGUUGUAAGUCAAGAACGAGUGUGAGAGUGGAAAGUUCACACUGUGACGGUAGCUUACCAGAAAGGGACGGCUAACUACGUG